CUCUGGAGUUCUUCUGUAGGCUGUAUGUUGUUAAUGCUAAUCGUGAUAGGGGUUUUUACCUAUGACUGACUCCUACAUGUUAGCAUUAACACUGUAUGAUGCCUUUUACCAGAACUCAUAU
rnacentral:pre_miRNA from 15 species